AACGCGAAGAACCUUACCUGGGCUCGAACGGCUUCCUAACGCCGGUGGAAACACCGGUAUCCCGCAAGGGAGUGGAGUCGAGGUGCUGCAUGGCUGUCGUCAGCUCGUGUCGUGAGAUGUUGGGUUAAGUCCCGCAACGAGCGCAACCCUUGUCCUGUGUUGCCAUCAUUUAGUUGGGAACUCGCAGGAGACCGCCAGCGAUAAGCUGGAGGAAGGUGGGGAUGACGUCAAGUCCUCAUGGCCUUUAUGUCCAGGGCUACACACGUGCUACAAUGGACGGUACAAUACGUCGCUAACCCGCGAGGGGGAGCCAAUCGCUAAAAACCGUUCUCAGUUCGGAUUGCAGGCUGCAACUCGCCUGCAUGAAGCUGGAAUCGCUAGUAAUGGCAGAUCAGCACGCUGCCGUGAAUACGUUCCCGGGCCUUGUACACACCGCUCGCGA
rnacentral:rRNA from 1 species